rnacentral:tRNA from 1 species
GCCGAAGUGGUGGAACUGGCAGACGCGCAGCGUUCAGGGCGCUGUGUCCGCAAGGACGUGCGGGUUCAAAUCCCGCCUCCGGCACCA